rnacentral:rRNA from 1 species
CAGCCGCCGCGGUAAUACGGAGGGUGCGAGCGUUAAUCGGAAUUACUGGGCGUAAAGGGCGCGUAGGAGGUUCGCCAAGUUGGAUGUGAAAUCCCCGGGCUCAACCUGGGAACUGCAUCCAAAACUGGCGAGCUAGAGUAUGGUAGAGGGUGGUGGAAUUUCCUGUGUAGCGGUGAAAUGCGUAGAUAUAGGAAGGAACAUCAGUGGCGAAGGCGACCACCUGGACUGAUACUGACACUGAGGUGCGAAAGCGUGGGGAGCAAACAGGAUUAGAUACCCCUGUAGUCCCUGUCUCUUAUAC